rnacentral:rRNA from 1 species
GACGAACGCUGGCGGCGUGCUUAACACAUGCAAGUCGAACGGUGACCCUCGGAGCCUGCUUCGGGGUGAGCAGUGGCGAACGGGUGAGUAACACGUGAGUAACCUGCCCCUGACUCUGGAAUAAGCGCUGGAAACGGCGUCUAAUACCGGAUACGACACGCCUCCGCAUGGGGAGCGUGUGGAAAGUUUUUCGGCCUGGGAUGGACGCGCGGCCUAUCAGCUUGUUGGUGAGGUAAUGGCUCACCAAGGCGAUGACGGUAGCCGGCCUGAGAGGGCGACCGGCCACACUGGGACUGAGACACGGCCCAGACUCCUACGGGAGGCAGCAGUGGGGAAUAUUGCACAAUGGGCGAAAGCCUGAUGCAGCGACGCCGCGUGAGGGAUGACGGCCUUCGGGUUGUAAACCUCUUUCAGCAGGGAAGAAGCGAAAGUGACGGUACCUGCAGAAGAAGCACCGGCUAACUACGUGUCAGCCGCCGCCGUAACAC